rnacentral:rRNA from 1 species
CCUACGGGAGGCAGCAGUGGGGAAUUUUGGACAAUGGGGGCAACCCUGAUCCAGCCAUGCCGCGUGCGGGAAGAAGGCCUUCGGGUUGUAAACCGCUUUUGUUCGGGAAGAAAUCCCCUGGGUUAAUACCUCGGGGGGAUGACGGUACCGGAAGAAUAAGCACCGGCUAACUACGCGCCAGCAGCCGCGGUAAU